GAUGGGGGUCUGUGAAGCCUUCUUGGGCUCCAGCCAGGCCUUCAAAGUCAGGAAGUUUGUGGCUGAAAAGGAGGGGAAAGAAGCUGAGUGUAGAGACAGAGGCUCUGGGUGCGGGGCCAUCCCAGAAGCACAGCCUCAUUUCCCAGCCUGGCCUGGGGACCAGCAGUAGGAGCAGAGCCCAGCGAUCGAGAAUCGAGCGAUCGAGCCUCCUGAUUCCACUGAAACCAGAACUCGGUUGCCUGUAUCUGAUUUGACUCCUGGGGGACAAAAAGGCCUGACAAUAACCGCCCUCCCGAACCUUGCAGGGCAGCUUGGAAGGAUCAAAUGAGGUAACAGCCAUCUUCAGCUAAGAGAUCCUUAGGAAACAAAUGGAUUAUUUCCUUCCUUUAUAACGGAGGGUAUCUCCGGUUCAAAUAAUCAGUCACGCAAAGACUGUUUCUUCUAGAAGGAGAAGAAGAUGAAGGCGACUUGGAUCAGAGAGAAUCAACAACGUAGCCAAGGUCAGGCAGAGACACUACUCACUGAGGCUGCAUGUUCCUCCACAGCCUCCCCACUGGCUCCUCCCCCUAAACGUGGGUGUUCCCAGGCCCUGGGUCUCCUUCUCCCUUUCUGUUAUCUCCCUUUAAAAUCUUGGGUCAGGGCUUCCCUGGUGGCGCAGUGGUUGAGAAUCUGCCUGCUAAUGCGGGGGACACGGGUUCGAGCCCUGGUC